GGCCUGCAACUGCAAGGGAUUUGAUCUACUCAGGUCUCACGGUCUACUGCUAUUCCCGUGACGACUGACGAGAAGCUGUUGGUGUACCGCCAGGGAGCGCCAAAAUAUUUUAUGCGACGCUGCCGUACAGAGCUGCUCGUGCGACGCCUAUCACCUGGGUGUAUGGCAAGCUGGUCCCACCAAACUGAUAAACCAAACACGACGUCAAAGAUCUAGGAGAUAAUUCAUCUUUGUGAUGACCAACCUCAAUACUCAUGUUAUUUUUUG